rnacentral:rRNA from 1 species
GCUUACCAUGCAAGUCGAGCGGGGGAGAUUGCUUCGGUAAUUGACCUAGCGGCGGACGGGUGAGUAAUACUUAGGAAUCUGCCUAUUAAUGGGGGACAACAUCUCGAAAGGGAUGCUAAUACCGCAUACGCCCUACGGGGGAAAGCAGGGGAUCACUUGUGACCUUGCGUUAAUAGAUGAGCCUAAGUCGGAUUAGCUAGUUGGUGGGGUAAAGGCCUACCAAGGCGACGAUCUGUAGCGGGUCUGAGAGGAUGAUCCGCCACACUGGGACUGAGACACGGCCCAGACUCCUACGGGAGGCAGCAGUGGGGAAUAUUGGACAAUGGGGGGAACCCUGAUCCAGCCAUGCCGCGUGUGUGAAGAAGGCCUUAUGGUUGUAAAGCACUUUAAGCGAGGAGGAGGCUCUUUUGGUUAAUACCCAAGAUGAGUGGACGUUACUCGCAGAAUAAGCACCGGCUAACUCUGUGCCAGCAGCCGCGGUAAUACAGAGGGUGCGAGCGUUAAUCGGAUUUACUGGGCGUAAAGCGUGCGUAGGCGGCUUUUUAAGUCGGAUGUGAAAUCCCCGAGCUUAACUUGGGAAUUGCAUUCGAUACUGGGAAGCUAGAGUAUGGGAGAGGAUGGUAGAAUUCCAGGUGUAGCGGUGAAAUGCGUAGAGAUCUGGAGGAAUACCGAUGGCGAAGGCAGCCAUCUGGCCUAAUACUGACGCUGAGGUACGAAAGCAUGGGGAGCAAACAGGAUUAGAUACCCUGGUAGUCCAUGCCGUAAACGAUGUCUACUAGCCGUUGGGGUCUUUGAGACUUUAGUGGCGCAGCUAACGCGAUAAGUAGACCGCCUGGGGAGUACGGUCGCAAGACUAAAACUCAAAUGAAU